UUACCUACGGGAGGCAGCAGUGAGGAAUAUUGGUCAAUGGGCGGAAGCCUGAACCAGCCAAGUCGCGUGAGGGAAGAAGGCCCUGCGGGUCGCAGACCUCUUUGGACGGGGAGCAAGGCCGCCGACGUGUCGGCGGAAGGAGAGUACCCGUAGAACAAGCAUCGGCUAACUCCGUGCCAGCAGCCGCGGUAAUACGUAGGGGGCAAGCGUUAUCCGGAUUUACUGGGUGUAAAGGGAGCGUAGGUGGCAUGGCAAGCCAGAAGUGAAAACCCGGGGCUUAACCCCGCGGAUUGCUUUUG
rnacentral:rRNA from 1 species